GCUGGGUGUGGUGACGCACACCUGUAAUCCCAGCUACUCAGGAGGCUGAGGCAGGAGAAUCGCUUGAACCCAGGAGGCAGAGGCUGCAGUGAGCGGAGAUCCGCGCCAUUGCACUCCAGCCUGGGUGACAGAGCAAGACUCCAUCUCAA
rnacentral:SRP_RNA from 1 species